GUAGGGAUUGCCUCACUCCAGAAUGUCCGAGGCACUUUGGAGAAAGGGCUGUUUCCCCCAAACCUUCUACCUGGUUGGUUGCUAGCAGGUCUCCCCAGCGAUCACAUCCAUUAGCUUUGUCUUUUUGACAAAACCGUUAGUUGAAUCAAUGUCAGCGCAGCGAGUGAGGCCAGAAACCCCUCUCACAACCUUGGCCGAAGCAGGAAUUCAUGGGAGCUGCAAAGGGUUACGAAUAAAAUGCAGUCACAAAGUAAAGGGUCAAACGUGGCUUCUGCCUUCUGCCCUUCUGUGGACCACCCCCUCCUUCACAGAGUUUGCCUCAACCUCGGCCACAUUUCAGUCCGGUCUGAUUAUCAGAACCGCUGAGUCUCAAGUUUGCAGCUUGCUCCGUUCAUUUCCGUCAUCCCAUCGGUGAGAAGAAGCGUCUGCAGCCAUCCUUCAUGUCGGGAGGGAUGAGCUGAAGGAGGCAGGGAGAUGUCUCCUAAGCCUGACUCCCUUCUUCGAUUACCAACUUCAGAAACCAGCACACACAAUUGGGAGAGGAGUCUGGAGAUUCAUCCCCUCUGGACUGUAAAGAUGACAAAUCUCUCUCAACUCUUUGGUUAGAAAAUACAAUUAAGUGGACUGGAGUGGGCUCUCUCCAAAGAAAAUUGGCUGGAUUGAGAUGUGAGUAUCUUAGAAGCUGAACCAAUAAAAAUCAAUCAUUCCCAUCCCCUGUGGAAAUGGCACUAGGGGAAAAGUUUGCUUUGAUAUCUCUGCUGUGGACGAAACGUG